rnacentral:rRNA from 1 species
GAUGAACGCUGGCGGCGUGCCUAAUACAUGCAAGUCGAGCGAACAGACGAGGAGCUUGCUCCUCUGACGUUAGCGGCGGACGGGUGAGUAACACGUGUAUAACCUACCUAUAAGACUGGGAUAACUUCGGGAAACCGGAGCUAAUACCGGAUAAUAUAUUGAACCGCAUGGUUCAAUAGUGAAUGUCGGUUUUGCUGUCACUUAUAGAUGGAUCCGCGCCGUAUUGGCUAGUUGGGGAGUUAACGGCUUACCAAGGCAACGAGGCGUAGCCGACCUGAGGGGGGGGUCGGCCACCUGAGAACUGGACCGGGCACCAGGGUCCUGCGGGAGGCCGCAGUAGGGAAUGGUCCGCAAUGGGCGGGAGCCUGACGGAACGGCGGGACGUGAGUGAUGAAGGUCUUCGGAUCGUAAUACUCUGUUAUGAGGGAAAAACAAAUGUGUAAUGAAAUGUACCCGUAUUGACGGUACCUGAUCAGAAAGCCACGGCUAACUACGUG